GCCAGGAUGGUGAAGUGGUUUGAGCAUUGCACUAUGACUGGAGACCAGGGUUCAAUUCCCAGUUUAUCCA